GAAGCCUUUGAGGAUGGAAUCGAUAUAGACAGGUGGAUCUCGCAGGAGGCAGAAAAGAGAUGAAGCUGACAGAGCAAAGCAUAAAGGGGAGAAGGAACAUGGCGCAGAGAAGCAGAAGUGCUUGCAACGGGGGCUCCAAGUGAAUCACAAUAAUACUGAUGAGUGGGAAAAAAUAAGUGAGAGAGACAGAGCGGGACUGGAAUGCUGAGCCUGAAAAUGUGAAGAAACAGCUAUUUAUUGGAUGAGAGGUCACACCUGAACAUGCAGGACUAUUCAAUCAACACAGGCUGGUGGGUGGUAAAUGUAAUGUCAUUUCAUGAUACAUUUGAAACUAGUAUUUUC
rnacentral:lncRNA from 1 species